CCGGGCUACGUCUGGAAGGACUGCCAUCGACAAGAUAGGAGGAAGGUGGGGAGUGACGUCAAGUCAUCAUGGCCCUUAUGUCCAGGGCGACACACGUGCUACAAUGGCCGGCACAACGGGAAGCGAGUUCGCGAGGACGAGCGGAAUCCCUACAAAGCCGGUCGCAGUUCGGAUUGAAGUCUGCAACUCGACUUCAUGAAGCUGGAAUCGCUAGUAAUCGUGGAUCAGCCAAGCCGCGGUGAAUACGUUCCCGGGCCUU
rnacentral:rRNA from 1 species